UGUAGGAAGAAGACAGUAGUUCAACAUAAGCAGUAUAAAAAGAAGGGCUGCUGUGAUAGGUAAUGAGCUACCAGUCAGUGGACGUGUUUUUGGUUUGGCAGCUGCAGUCUAGGAAUGAGCAGAUGGUCUACAUCCUGGGGACGAGAUUGGAAGAGAUGAGAACCAAAGCCCCUCCCAGCCCAGGCAGUCAAUCUGAACACACUUCUCCAGACCUGCUGUUGCAAAGCAGUGUGCCGAAUCAACAGGAGAUGCAUGUUAAAUAAAACCCGACCCAGCCUCUCAAAAGUUUACAGUGAGAUUCUCAGGUUUUCCAAUAUCAUCUUCAUAGAGUUCCUGGAGGAAUUUAAGAAAGUACAGUGAAGAUUCAUUCCUUUCAUCUCCUAAGGACUCUCGUAAUUACUAUUGCUCUGAACCCAGCGGGCAAGAUGCACAUUUCUCUGUCCAGGAAAUGACAGCAGCAGUGUGGUACCCUCUUCUCACUUCGGGGAAAGACUGUGUAUCUGCAUAUUGAGCCUGUCCAGAGUCCGUGUCAGAGCCGGGUCCUUCUGAGCACAAUUUGUCCUGUGAUCUGUAAAUCCCGAGUGAGGCGAGGAAGCCCAAGAAGUACAUUCCUACGAGAGCUCAUGAAGCAUAGGAGAAAGCUCUGCUCAUCUGUGCCACUUACCAGCCACAUG
rnacentral:lncRNA from 1 species